GCUGGGCGUGGUGGUGGGCGCCUGUAAUCCCAGCUACUCAGGAGGCUGAGGCAGGAGAAUGGUGUGAACCUGGGAGGUGGAGCUUGCAGUGAGCAGAGAUUGUGCCACUGCACUCCAGCCUGGGUGACAGGGUGAGACUCUGUAAAAAACAAAAACAAAAACAAAAAAAAACUGUUUAGUGUAUCUUUAAUUUUGAAUUAUUAAUCUUAUUAUUAUUAUUUUUUUUGAGAUGGAGUCUUGCUCUGUCGCCUAGGCUGGAGUGCAGUGGUGCAAUCUUGGCUCACUGCAAGCUCUGCCUCCCGGGUUCACACCAUUCUCCUGCCUCAG
rnacentral:SRP_RNA from 2 species